rnacentral:rRNA from 2 species
ACGGGGUGCAGCAGGCGCGAAACCUUUGCAAUGUGCGAAAGCACGACAAGGUUAAUCCGAGUGUCUCCCGCUAAAGGAGUCUUUUGUCAGUUGUAGAAUCACUGAUGAAUAAGGGGUGGGCAAGUUCUGGUGUCAGCCGCCGCGGUAAAACCAGCACCUCGAGUGGUCAGGAGGUUUAUUGGGCCUAAAGCAUCCGUAGCCGGUUGCAUAAGUUUUCGGUUAAAUCUAUGCGCUCAACGUAUAGGCCGCCGAAAAUACUGUGCAGCUAGGGAGUGGGAGAGGUACACGGUACUCAAUAGGAAGGGGUAAAAUCCUUUGAUCUAUUGAUGACCACCUGUGGCGAAGGCGGUGUACCAGAACACGUUCGACGGUGAGGGAUGAAAGCUGGGGGGGCAAACCGGAUUAGAUACCCGGGUAGUCCCAGCUGUAAACGAUGCAGACUCGGUGAUGCAUUGGCUUGUGGCCAAUGCAGUGCCGCAGGGAAGCCGUUAAGUCUGCCGCCUGGGAAGUACGUACGCAAGUAUGAAACUUAAAGGAAUUGGCGGGGGAGCAC